GUACACUCCUACGGGAGGCAGCAGUGGGGAAUUUUGGACAAUGGGCGAAAGCCUGAUCCAGCAAUGCCGCGUGCAGGAUGAAGGCCUUCGGGUUGUAAACUGCUUUUGUACGGAACGAAAAAGCUCCUUCUAAUACAGGGGGCCCAUGACGGUACCGUAAGAAUAAGCACCGGCUAACUACGUGCCAGCAGCCGCGGUAAUACGUAGGGUGCGAGCGUUAAUCGGAAUUACUGGGCGUAAAGCGUGCGCAGGCGGUUAUGUAAGACAGAUGUGAAAUCCCCGGGCUCAACCUGGGAACUGCAUUUGUGACUGCAUGGCUAGAGUACGGUAGAGGGGGAUGGAAUUCCGCGUGUAGCAGUGAAAUGCGUAGAUAUGCGGAGGAACACCGAUGGCGAAGGCAAUCCCCUGGACCUGUACUGACGCUCAUGCACGAAAGCGUGGGGAGCAAACAGGAUUAGAUACCCCAGUAGUCCCAU
rnacentral:rRNA from 1 species